rnacentral:rRNA from 1 species
GCUGGCGGCAGGCCUAACACAUGCAAGUCGAACGGUAGCACAGAGGAGCUUGCUCCUUGGGUGACGAGUGGCGGACGGGUGAGUAAUGUCUGGGAAACUGCCCGAUGGAGGGGGAUAACUACUGGAAACGGUAGCUAAUACCGCAUAACGUCGCAAGACCAAAGAGGGGGACCUUCGGGCCUCUUGCCAUCGGAUGUGCCCAGAUGGGAUUAGCUAGUAGGUGGGGUAACGGCUCACCUAGGCGACGAUCCCUAGCUGGUCUGAGAGGAUGACCAGCCACACUGGAACUGAAACACGGUCCAAACUCCUACGGGAGGCAGCAGUGGGGAAUAUUGCACAAUGGGCGCAAGCCUGAUGCAGCCAUGCCGCGUGUAUGAA